GCUGGCGGCGCGCCUAACACAUGCAAGUCGAACGAUUAAAGCACCUUCGGGUGUGUAUAAAGUGGCGAACGGCUGAGUAACACGUGGGCAACCUGCCUUUUACUUUGGGAUAGCCUCGGGAAACCGAGGAUAAUACCGAAUACUUUGUAUGUAUCGCAUGGUAUAUACAAGAAAGCUUUUGCGGUAAAAGAUGGGCCCGCGGCCUGUUAGCUUGUUGGUGAGGUAACGGCUCACCAAGGCAAUGAUGGGUAGCCGGGUUGAGAGACCGACCGGCCAGAUUGGGACUGAGACACGGCCCAGACUCCUACGGGAGGCAGCAGUGGGGAAUCUUGCGCAAUGGGGGAAACCCUGACGCAGCGACGCCGCGUGCGGGAUGAAGGCCUUCGGGUUGUAAACCGCUUUCAGCAGGGACGAGGCCUUAUGGUGACGGUACCUGCAGAAGAAGCUCCGGCUAAAUACGUGCCAGCAGCCGCGGUAAUACGUAUGGAGCAAGCGUUAUCCGGAUUCAUUGGGCGUAAAGCGCUCGUAGGCGGUCUGUUAGGUCGGCAAGUUAAAUCCGGGGGCUCAACCCCCGUCCGCUUCCGAUACCGGCAGACUUGAGUUUGGUAGGGGAAGGUGGAAUUCCUAGUGUAGCGGUGGAAUGCGCAGAUAUUAGGAAGAACACCGGUGGCGAAGGCGGCCUUCUGGGCCAUAACUGACGCUGAGGAGCGAAAGCUAGGGGAGCGAACAGGAUUAGAUACCCUGGUAGUCCUAGCCGUAAACGAUGGACACUAGGUGUGGGGAAGUUUUUUCUCCGUGCCGCAGCUAACGCAUUAAGUGUCCCGCCUGGGGAGUACGACCGCAAGGUUAAAACUCAAAGGAAUUGACGGGGGCCCGCACAAGCAGUGGGGUAUGUGGUUUAA
rnacentral:rRNA from 1 species